GUCUGUGCCCUUACCACCCUGAACAUGCCUGAUCCCCUCUAAUCUUAGAAGCUAAGCAGAGUUAGGCCUGGUUGAUACUUGAAUGGGGGACUGUCUGGGAAUACCAGGUGCUGUUGGCU
ensembl:rRNA 5S_rRNA 5S ribosomal RNA